ACCAAGAUGGUGGAAUUGGUAUACACGCUGGGUUUAGGUUCCAGUCCUUAAUAGGAUAGGGGUUCAACUCCCCUUCUUGGUA
rnacentral:tRNA from 1 species